GGGGUACUUCACGGAGAGGUUUGAGAACCACUGCAAUAGAGGAUCCGGAUUAUCACCCCGUCCGAGAAGAGGUAGCUGGUGACAGUUCUUUUGAGUCCCUGGAUGAAGAUGAUGCUCCCUCAACAAGCACAUCCUCUACAAUGCUUCCAUACCCUCUGAUGUACCAACACUACAAGAGAUUCUUGGAAACUUUACAACUGGUUUAAUUCAACAUCCUAUACACUCCUCUCCAGCAGACAGCAAAGACUGUUGUACCGUCACAUUGGAUUUGAAAGCAACACCCUUUCCUCCAUACAUCCACGCUACCUGAAAGACCACAGCUUCCUGAAUCCAACCAUACCAGUUAUGUACAGAUCGGACC